rnacentral:rRNA from 1 species
UACGUAGGUGGCAAGCGUUGUCCGGAUUUACUGGGCGUAAAGAGCGCGCAGGCGGUCGAGUAAGUCGAAUGUGAAAGCCCCCGGCUUAACUGGGGAGGGUCAUUCGAUACUGUUCGACUUGAAGGCAGGAGAGGGCAGCAGAAUUCCCGGUGUAGUGGUGAAAUGCGUAGAUAUCGUAAGGAAGACCAGUGGCGAAGGCGGGUCUCUGGACAGUUCCUGACGCUGAGGCACGAAGGCCAGGGGAGCAAACGGG